rnacentral:rRNA from 1 species
UACAGAGGUCUCAAGCGUUUGUUCGGAUUCAUUGGGCGUAAAGGGUGCGUAGGCGGGUCUUUUAAGUCAGGGGGUGAAAUCCUGGAGCUCAACUCCAGAACUGCCUUUGAUACUGAGGAUCUUGAGUACGGGAGAGGUGAGUGGAACUGCGAGUGUAGAGGUGAAAUUCGUAGAUAUUCGCAAGAACACCAGUGGCGAAGGCGGCUCACUGGCCCGUAACUGACGCUGAGG